ACUCCUCCAGCUCCAGUGGCGCCGCCUGGGUUUCCGAGUCCCGGCCACUCCAGCGCACAGUUCCGGAGUGGAGGGAGGAAGUCCCAUCACGGCUACCAGGUACCCCCUCCUCUCUCCGCUGCGCUUACGGGGAGCGCCUCGACUCUUGUCUUUCCUCCGCCGGUACUGGGAGACAGCUCGGGACCGCAGGACUGGUCUCCCCGCCCCUCACUUUGAGAGGAGGAGGGGCGAGGGAAAAGGACAUCUUGUUCUCACAGAGGCAGGUUGCCCAGCUGAGGGCAUUUGUUUUGAGGGGCAGCAGGAUGCACUACGGAAAACCCAGGUGUGUUUGGCAUAACUAGCAUUUAACAUAACAGGAACAUUUUUACAGACAAUCAAAAAAUAGUAUUAAAAUUUUAAAAUAAUUGUUUUCUAAUUUUUAAAAACGCUUGGCCCACGUUUUCCAUGCUCUCGUGAGGGAUCUGACAGAACGGCUGAAGAGGUAGCGAUGUUGUAGGACCCUGAAGCAAGGCGUCAGACCAAACUCAAACUGGAUGCCCUCGUGUGUAUAUUAGGGCCCCCCUGCGAGUCCCCUACCCCGCAAUGAAACCAGUCGCAUUUGUUCUAAGAGAACUGAAAGGCUGGGAAAUACGGAGUAGGUGAUAUUAAAGAAAAGCUACAGGGAAGGUGGAGGUAGGAUUUUUAAAAAGUAUUUCCUCAAAGCUCUUGUAGAAAUAGACAAAUGGAGCUGACCUUGAACGGCCUGGUUGUCCUCCUCCUAGCUGUGUCCUUGGAAAGGCAGAGAAUCCCAACACCGCUAGCAAAAGAGAAGUAAAGAAAAACACCCACCAAAACGGCCCUCAGGUUUUGACAAAGAGGUCCCUGACAAAAUGUGACUUAAUUAGGACAGAACCGAAAAGUUGAAGUAAAUCCCCCACCCAACACGUGAGAACUGAGUGACACUUCUCUCUGGCAACCAGGGAGUCUGUCUGCAGAGGAUCAGAAGGGGUCAUCGCAAAGCCUAGACCUGACCAGGUGGCUGGAAGUCCCAUGAAGAACCCUGUGCAAGGGGCAAACAGAAAUACCCACCCAGGGGGCAGGGACAUCUGUGGUCCAGCACUGAAGAUCACUGACAAAUACCCUCUGAGUAAAACUGAGGAAAGAAGUCAGCUGUGAUCAGGGGGACUUGGGCACACUGGAGCGUAUGGCCAGGGAUGGCAAGAAAAUAUUGCUUCCAGAAACAUUCACGGGAAACUCCAUCUCUCAGACAUGCUGCCAGGUCUUGGAAUUGCAGAGACUAGGAAAUGGGCCCUGCCCUGAUGGACUCACAGGGUUGGUGGUGCUUUGUUAUGGCAAUUCCAACAAACAAAUACAGCUGGCUCCCAAGCCUGUCCACACCUGUUGAGUAGCAAGUUUCUUAAACCAUUCUGAGUUGGAUUCCGUUUCCUGCCAGGACCCUGAUUGCUGCCUGGAGUGGCCCCGGGGGGUACAGGUCUAUGAUUCAUCAGCCUGGAGUGGCCAUGAGACCAAGUACCCUCCAAGGAGGAAGCAGAAGUCUUACUUGGAGGACAAUUCUAGAACUGGCCUAUAAAGCCAUUCCCUUUGCCCCUUCCUUCUAGCUAAAUGGUCCUGACCCGGGCCUCCUUGGAAGCCAGAGGUGGGAAAUGGCAAGGUGACCAUCACCCGAUGCCCCUGAGUGACUACAUGGAGCAGACCUCCUGCUGAUCCCUGGGUGGCCUGUGAGUGAGAAAGAGUUAGGUAUCUGCUUUGAGCCAUUGCAAGUUAGGGCCUCUUGGUCAUAGCAGUUAAGAAUUUUGGCCAAGUCAACAACAUGCUACUCAUGACUUUCAUUGCUUACCCUACUUAGUAUCUCUUAAUCUCUUUCCCUCUCUACCUCCAUUGCCACACCAAUCUGAGGCCCUCAUCAUCUCUUGUCUGGUCUGUCGCAACAGCCCCUCCCUGGAAGAUGAGGGCUGUGUGCAGGUCACAACUGAGAUGCAGCACCCUGAACGUGGGCCCCCUCCAGCUUACCACCUUCGCACUGCUGUUCCCCCAGCUAGAAAUGCCCACCCUCUCCCCAUCCCUUCCUCUCCUCUACAUCUGGCAAACUCACCCUCACCCCCAGCUUCAUGGGCUGCCUUCCCUGAGAGGCUGUGACUCUGUCUUGUGACUGUUGCCAUUCUGUCAGCUCCUAGCGGCAGGUCUGCAUUCUUGUCACUUCUCUCCCCAGUGCCUAGACUGGUGGCUACCCAUGCAGGUGUUUAAUAAAUGAAAUCAGUGGGUGAGUGACAGUUUCCGGGUACUCUGGCAUCCCUCUCUCCCCCAUUUGAUGCUACCAUCUGAAAAGUCAGGGCUGUCUCAUCAAAGGCUAUCCUUUGGGCUUUGGCCCCUGUUCUGGUUGUCACUCUAACGCAGAAGUUUCUUCUGCCACUUCAAGAGGCACAAACAUUCAAGAUACAAGCAAUAAACAGAUUUGGAGAGCUUUCCGUGCACAACUGUUAAGCUGUUGACAUUCUCCAUCCUCACUCCCCCUCUGGUCUCAGUUCCUUGGCUCCUCAUUCACUCAGAGAAACAGGAUGGGAUAAAAGGCAAUAUGACUUCAUGGAAGGUCUGAAACAUGGAGUUUUCCAAUCAGGGAUGGCUUCCUGUCAGGCAUGCUUAUCUCAGUGCAGGAAGCUCUCAGCCUUCAGGAUUCCCUCCUACAUCCCAGCCCUCUGCUGCACCCUGUACCCAGCGGUCCAGGGGCUUAUGGAGUAGGUAGUUUCUCAUCUCUGCCUCCAGCUCCUUCAGAAAGUAGCUAAGGGGGAGUUCUGUGGUGAGCACAGUGGAACUGAAGCCUCCUGUCCCCUGCAGAGUCCUCGCCAUGGUGCACACAGCACUUUCACUCUGCGAGGGAGGAGGCCAUGAUGACAGGCUACUCUGGGCUUGAGGAAGGACAAAGAUGACCUUAUUCUGAUAAUGGCCACCAUGUUGAGCUGGAAAACUCCUGACCCCUGAAGGCUCUCCCCUCAGGCGAGGAUGAUUAGCGAUGUCUCUUCUGAGAGAAGAGGUGUCUAUGGUUUGAACUGCUCAGGAUAGCAAGGAUGAGAACCAAGAGGGCAAACAUUUUCUAUGACUGACCCACACCUGAGAACACACCCCAUCCGAUUCAUCAGGAGGCCCCUCCUUUGAGCUCAUGGGCAUUUUUUUUCUAUUCAAUAAUAGCAAGAAGUUGUUAGGAUACAAAACUGUACAUAAUUCAUUUUACCCAGAUCUGGAGUUAUUCUGAUCACUUGCGGUCUGUGACAAAUAACCAGAAAGAAGUAGCUCAACAAACGAAACUCACCAAAUAUAAGCUCUACAUUUAUAGAAAAUAAAUAACAAAAUUUAAGUACUCACUUUCUAAAGCAUUAGUGUUAGCAGAUCAUUUCUAGGGAUUAUUCAGAAUGUGGAAAUGACUUAUAGCUUUCCCAAAUGAGUCAACUUAUUUCUGCAUAGUGGGUGGUAAGGGCAAAGCUCAGGGAUGGGAAUCAGGAAAUACAGGCUCCAGCUCAGCUCAGCUCUGGCACUCGUUCUGAUUACAAAGAGUUUAUAGCCUCUCUGUCAGGUCCUUUGAUUCUCUGUUUAUCCAGGACCCCGUGCGUUCUGCAGGCUGUGUUUUACCCUUAAGGAGAGGCAGGACUAGGUUCAGUUGGGGACUACAUAUAGCAGGAUGCCCUGACUCAGGGCUGUCACUCAGUGACGUUAUCCAGCAUCUUAACAUAACUGGCCAAGCCCACACAGUGAGACAGUUAAGUUUUGGGGGGAAAAAUAAUGCUAAAUCUUGCUCUUUGCACUCUCUCUGAUACAUUGUGAAAGCAUUCCUUGACCUCCUUUCUCUGCCUCCUGACCUUCAAGUGUUUCAGUGGUUCCCUGGGCUCUCCUUUCCUCCUGAAUUUCUCUUGAAAGUCUUAAAUGUUGAAUUUCAUGGUCAUUCAAAGGUUAUAUGCAGGAUUAUCUUCCUGCCUUCCUUUGGCUGGUGCUUAAUUCUGUUUCGGAGGAAAACUAGCCUUUCCUACUUCCCCCACUGCACACAACACACAGACAAAAAGACAUUUGCAGAAUCAUCAACAUUUAAUGAUUCUGCUGAAAUUGGUCUCCUUGGAUGCAGCUAAUGGAGUAUGUGUGUCUGCUUUGAGAUUCCUGACUGUCCCCAAGGCGGCUCCAGUUCUUACCUGGCCCCUUUAUCAGAUCUGGCCAUCAGAUACCAUCAGAUUGAUUUCACUUGGGGCCCUUAGGCUGAGGAAGCAAUCAGAACAAGUUGGCUGAGGGUUUAAGGUGAGCUGAAAGGGACAGCCACACUGGGACCGGAGCUUGCACAGGUUUCAAGGCCCCCUCCAAAAUGUUUCAGUCCUAGAAAGAAAUGUUAUGGGCUCCAAAAUGCGAAAAGAAAACAGCAAAAGCAAAUUAAUAUUUAUUUCUAACACCGAACUGUAAAAUCUUUAAUUUUUUUAAUAGCUACGUGCAUUUAUUAUGGAAUAUCAGCUCCCUGAAUGUGUCUAAUGGGGUGUGAUGGGAGGAACGGGGCCCAGGCAGUGGGAGGACACCCAGGCCCCAGGAGGUGUCUGAGGCCACUUGCAGGCAAAGAACCCAGGAUGUGCACACUAGACUGAGGCCCUUCUCUGCUGUGUGACUUUGCCCUUGCAGGGUACCCUUGAGUACCUCCUGCAGGCAUGCAUCACAGGCAACCCUGGUCUCUGUCCUAGGUCCAGCUUUGGGUUUCAUGACACACCCCUGGAUCCUUAGCAUAAAUUCUUUUUUGCUUCAUCUAGGUUGAAUUGGUCUUGCUACUUGUAAAUAAAAGUCUUAGGGCAAGAACCUGGGGCCACUUGACUGCCCCUCUCACCCUUUCCACAACAGGCCAACCUACAGAUCUUCCUCAACUGACAAUGGGGUUACGUCCAGAUAAGCCUACCCUAAGUUGAAAAUACACUAUGUUGAAAUGUAUUUAAUGCACCUGAUCUACUGAACAUCACAGGAUAUUGCCUGUUUACCCUGGUGAUCAUGCGGCGGCCAGGGAGCUGCACCUGGCUGGUCUGGAAAAGAGCAAAAUUACAAAUGUCAAGUAUGGUUUCUACGGAAUGCCUAGCUUUUUCAUUCCAUCAUGAAGCCAAAAAAAUCCUAAAUUGAACCAUCGUAAGUUUAGUGACCAUCUAUACUUAGUUGGUUAAAAAAAAGCAAUGAAUAUUAAAGCUUUCAAACUAGCCUCCAUAAAGGCUGGUUUGGGAUAUCUACUAAAUAGUCCUUUUGCUGGAAUUAUCUGCAUAAGUAAUUUGUUGUUGUUGUACAAUAAUAACUUUGUAUUUAUUAUGUUUGUUGUUGUUUAGGGUCUGUCUCUUUCUGCUAUAAGUUUCAUGCAAGAUGGGUGUCUUUGUUUUCAUUAUCCUUUAUUAAGCACCCAGUGGAUACGCCAUAAAUAAGUCUUAGAAGAAUGACAAUCACAGUCCUGCUAGAAAUACCCAAGCCCAAUUGUACUCCUACUAUUAGAAAUACCUGCACUGGGGUGCCACGCUGGCUCGGUCAGUAGAACAGUGACUCUUGAUCUUGGGGUGGUGAGUUUGAGCCCCCAUGUUGGGGGUAGAGAUUACUUUUUAAAAAAAAAAAAAAGAAAGAAA